UCUAAUAUGGCAGAUUAGUGCAAUGAAUUUAAGCUUCAUAUAUAAAGAUUUAUAAAUCUUUUAUUAGAA
rnacentral:tRNA from 1 species